AGCCAGUGAUUGAAUGGCAGUUGCAGGUUCAGGCAAUAAAUAUACUCCCAGCUAGUACGGCAACUAAGCAAGGCAGUAAAUCAGAGUGGGUUUAAGGGUUCAACUUGGCAACUAUAGUGGUGGCUUGUCUGUUGGUACUUAGAUAUGGCUUUUGGAAUUAAUUUGUGGAUCGUGUUGCUUUGCUCCAUAUUCUCAGAACAUUUAAGAUCUGCUUGUGCUCCACAUGAUGCCCAGAGAUUAAGAGGCUACAUGUAUUCUGGCUCUUCCCAAGUGGAAGAUGAACAGAAACAACCAGGUGAUGGCUAUCCUCAGGAUCCAAUCAAACCAACUUUUAGUACUUCAAGAUCUGUCCAGAGUGAUGCUACUCGUAGAGAGACUGGCCCCAACACCCAUAACCGGGAACUAU